AUUGAACGCUGGCGGCAGGCCUAACACAUGCAAGUCGAACGGUAACAGGAAGACGCUUGCUUCUUUGCUGACGAGUGGCGGACGGGUGAGUAAUGUCUGGGAAACUGCCUGAUGGAGGGGGAUAACUACUGGAAACGGUAGCUAAUACCGCAUAACGUCGCAAGACCAAAGAGGGGGACCUUCGGGCCUCUUGCCAUCGGAUGUGCCCAGAUGGGAUUAGCUAGUAGGGGGGGUAACGGCUCACCUAGGCGACGAUCCCUAGCUGGUCUGAGAGGAUGACCAGCCACACUGGAACUGAGACACGGUCCAGACUCCUACGGGAGGCAGCAGUGGGGAAUAUUGCACAAUGGGCGCAAGCCUGAUGCAGCCAUGCCGCGUGUAUGAAGAAGGCCUUCGGGUUGUAAAGUACUUUCAGCGGGGAGGAAGGGAGUAAAGUUAAUACCUUGGCUCAUUGACGUUACCCGCAGAAGAAGCACCGGCUAACUCCGUG
rnacentral:rRNA from 1 species